UAGGCCCGCGAAAAACUUCAAACCCAAAUUUGCACUUCAGGUAUAUGCAGGCCU
rnacentral:tRNA from 1 species